GUUGAUGCCUCAAAGUCAGAAUGACCCGUGCGAACUCUAUCCACACGGGGCGCAAUUGGCACCUAGGAGAACACGAAAAGAAGGACGCUCACGGUGCCCCCUCGCGGAGGUGCCGAUUGGGCAUCCGCUCAAAAUCGUAAUGAAACACGACUCUUGGCAACGGAUAUCUUGGCUCUUGCAUCGAUGAAGAAUGUAGCAAAAUGCGAUACUUGGUGUGAAUUGCAGAAUCUCAUGAACCAUCGAGUCUUUGAACUCAAGUUACGCCCGAGGCCACUAGGUCGAGGGCACAACUGCCUGGGUGUCAUGCCCCCCAACUCUCCACCCCGACCCCCUCACACGACCCCUUGAUCGGAGGGUGCGUGGGGGGUGUACAGUGGUGCAAGCAGACUAGCGGCCCGUCCCUCUCGGGCAUGGUUGGUUGAAAGUCUGGCCCGACGGAGGUGUGCAGCACGACAAGUGGUGGCUCGGCCCUCCCAGGCCACAGUGUCACUAUGUCGUGUUUGCAGAUUCGUCACUCGAGGCCAUAGAGGACCCUAACCGUCUGCCUUUGCUCCAGGAGGUGUCGUUCUGAUUGCGACCCCGGGUCAAGUGGGAUCACCCGUUGAGUUUAA
rnacentral:rRNA from 1 species